GGUUGUAUUUUGAGUCCGUAAUUGAAUCAAAAGUGAAUCAAAACGUGAACAUUCAAAACUACAUCUUGUGGAGUUGUGGAUAAGUUUUACA
rnacentral:sRNA from 1 species